GACAGAGGGUGCAAACGUUGUUCGGAAUUACUGGGCGUAAAGCGUGUGUAGGCGGCCACGUAAGUCGGAUGUGAAAGCCCCAGGCUCAACCUGGGAAGUGCACUCGAUACUGCGUGGCUUGAGUAUCGGAGAGGUUGGUGGAAUUCUCGGUGUAGAGGUGAAAUUCGUAGAUAUCGAGAGGAACACCGGUGGCGAAGGCGGCCAACUGGACGAAUACUGACGCUGAGACACGAAAGCGUGGGGGAGCAAACAGG
rnacentral:rRNA from 1 species